CUACGGUGAUGAGCUUCUACUUGGUCCGUGUUUCUGAAUCCUGAUAUCUACCAGAAGUUCUGAGUUU